ACGCUAGCUACAGGCUUAACACAUGCAAGUCGAGGGGCAGCAUGGUCUUAGCUUGCUAAGGCCGAUGGCGACCGGCGCACGGGUGAGUAACACGUAUCCAACCUGCCGUCUACUCUUGGACAGCCUUCUGAAAGGAAGAUUAAUACAAGAUGGCAUCAUGAGUCCGCAUGUUCACAUGAUUAAAGGUAUUCCGGUAGACGAUGGGGAUGCGUUCCAUUAGAUAGUAGGCGGGGUAACGGCCCACCUAGUCUUCGAUGGAUAGGGGUUCUGAGAGGAAGGUCCCCCACAUUGGAACUGAGACACGGUCCAAACUCCUACGGGAGGCAGCAGUGAGGAAUAUUGGUCAAUGGGCGAGAGCCUGAACCAGCCAAGUAGCGUGAAGGAUGACUGCCCUAUGGGUUGUAAACUUCUUUUAUAAAGGAAUAAAGUCGGGUAUGGAUACCCGUUUGCAUGUACUUUAUGAAUAAGGAUCGGCUAACUCCGUGCCAGCAGCCGCGGUAAUACGGAGGAUCCGAGCGUUAUCCGGAUUUAUUGGGUUUAAAGGGAGCGUAGAUGGAUGUUUAAGUCAGUUGUGAAAGUUUGCGGCUCAACCGUAAAAUUGCAGUUGAUACUGGAUAUCUUGAGUGCAGUUGAGGCAGGCGGAAUUCGUGGUGUAGCGGUGAAAUGCUUAGAUAUCACGAAGAACUCCGAUUGCGAAGGCAGCCUGCUAAGCUGCAACUGACAUUGAGGCUCGAAAGUGUGGGUAUCAAACAGGAUUAGAUACCCUGGUAGUCCACACGGUAAACGAUGAAUACUCGCUGUUUGCGAUAUACUGCAAGCGGCCAAGCGAAAGCGUUAAGUAUUCCACCUGGGGAGUACGCCGGCAACGGUGAAACUCAAAGGAAUUGACGGGGGCCCGCACAAGCGGAGGAACAUGUGGUUUAAUUCGAUGAUACGCGAGGAACCUUACCCGGGCUUAAAUUGCAGAUGAAUUACGGUGAAAGCCGUAAGCCGCAAGGCAUCUGUGAAGGUGCUGCAUGGUUGUCGUCAGCUCGUGCCGUGAGGUGUCGGCUUAAGUGCCAUAACGAGCGCAACCCUUGUUGUCAGUUACUAACAGGUUCCGCUGAGGACUCUGACAAGACUGCCAUCGUAAGAUGUGAGGAAGGUGGGGAUGACGUCAAAUCAGCACGGCCCUUACGUCCGGGGCUACACACGUGUUACAAUGGGGGGUACAGAGGGCCGCUACCACGCGAGUGGAUGCCAAUCCCCAAAACCUCUCUCAGUUCGGACUGGAGUCUGCAACCCGACUCCACGAAGCUGGAUUCGCUAGUAAUCGCGCAUCAGCCACGGCGCGGUGAAUACGUUCCCGGGCCUUGUACACACCGCCCGUCAAGCCAUGGGAGCCGGGGGUACCUGAAGUGCGUAACCGCGAGGAGCGCCCUAGGGUAAAACUGGUGACUGGGG
rnacentral:rRNA from 1 species